rnacentral:tRNA from 1 species
GCAUCUAUGGCCGAGUGGCUUAAGGCAGCGGACUCAUAAUCCGUCGACAUAAUGUCAUCGCUGGUUCAAAUCCGGCUAGAUGCA